rnacentral:rRNA from 1 species
GACGAACGCUGGCGGCGGGCCUAACACAUGCAAGUCGAGCGGAGCGGCGGACGGGUGAGUAAUGCAUAGGAAUCUGCCUGGCCGUUGGGGAUAACGUCCGGCAACGGGCGCUAAUACCGCAUACUAUCAGAUGAGUCUAGAUCGGAUUAGCUAGUUGGUGGGUUAAAGGCCUACCAAGGCGAAGAUCCGUCACUGGUCUGAGAGGAUGAUCAGUCACACUGGAACUGAGACACGGUCCAGACUCCUACGGGAGGCAGCAGGGGGGAAUAUUGGACAAUGGGCGAAAGCCUGAUCAAGCCAUGCCGCGUGUGUGAAGAAGGUCUUAGGAUUGUAAAGCACUUUAAGUUGGGAGGCGUUACCAACAGAAUAAGCACCGGCUAACUUCGUGCCAGCAGCCGCGGUAAUAC